CUGCACUGCAACAUGUCCAAAGAAAAGCUGUAACCCCCCUUACCCAUUUCUCUCCCUUCUUUUGUUGUACCCAUUUUUCACUCACUCAGAUUCCAUUCCAUACCCAGAGGAAUCAAAGGGUGUGUUUUUUAGAGAGAGAGUGAAGAUGGGUGAGAAAGUUGAUGAUGGGAUAGAGCUGAGCUGAGCUUGAGCUUGAAAUGCCCAGAGAAUCUUCCUCCACCUUUCCCUUUGACUCUACACUCCUUGUUUCAACACCACCACAACCACAGCCACCACAAGCCCUCCUCUCUCCUUGAUUCAUUUCAUUCCUCUUCUGACACGAGAUCUUACUUCCGGGGAAUCGAUGUGAACCUCCGGCCGCCGUCUACGGCGGCAGAGUGUGAGGAGGAGGUGGGUGUGUCGUCGCCGAACAGCACGGUGUCGAGCGUGAGCGGUAAGAGGAGCGAGAGAGAGGAAAACGACGGCGGCUGCGGCGGAGGAGAGAGGGGAUGGGGAGCUUCUCACGGUGGCGGAGGAAGCGAGGAGGACGACGGCGGGGAGAUGGCGAGGAAGAAGCUGAGGCUAUCGAAGGAGCAGGCGGCGGUGCUGGAAGAAACCUUCAAGGAGCACAACACUCUCAAUCCUAAGCAAAAGGUGGCUUUGGCUAAGCAGCUGAAACUGCUGCCGAGACAAGUAGAAGUGUGGUUU